ACCCACAGCUGAUCAAGAAUCCUUCCAUCGUGAAGAAAGUGCAGGACUUCAUGGAGUAUGUAUAAAAGCUCCCUUUCCUUGUUCCCAUGGCUACCCUUUCUUGUUCCCAUGGCUACCCUGCCACUCCCCCCACCAUACUGAAUCUGAGUUUGCCUCUUCAGCAGACCCUUUUACUAGAGAGGCCACGUUUUCUGUAAUGGAUGGAAGCCUGGUUGUUAGCAACUUCAGCUCUUUUAGAAACAGAGAAGGGGAAGUCAAAUCCCUGAGGCCUCCCAUGUGGGUGACUCCCUCUUUCUUUCCAGGCACCCCUUCUCCUCCUUCCCCAAGGUGUUUCUGUGUCGUGAGCAUGGCAAUUAACUCUGGGAGUUGGGAGAAUAUCUAAGUCCCUCGCCUGGUAC
rnacentral:lncRNA from 1 species